rnacentral:rRNA from 1 species
AAACCAGCACCUCAAGUGGUCAGGAUGAUUAUUGGGCCUAAAGCAUCCGUAGCCGGCUCUGUAAGUUUUCGGUUAAAUCUGUACGCUCAACGUACAGGCUGCCGGGAAUACUGCAGAGCUAGGGAGUGGGAGAGGUAGACGGUACUCGGGAGGAAGUGGUAAAAUGCUUUGAUCUCUCGAUGACCACCUGUGGCGAAGGCGGUCUACCAGAACACGUCCGACGGUCAGGGAUGAAAGCUGGGGGAGCAAACCGGAUUAGAUACCCGAGUAGUCC